CAGGAAGCCGCGCCCCUUCCUCUUCCUCCACCUGGCCUCCCUGCCAGGACUUGGCUCCGGAAGAGGCCUCUGUGGUCCUAGCUGCUCCAUCUCUGCUCUGUGGGACCUAGGGGCAGGCAGCGUGGAGCUGUCCGUGUCACUUGAGGUCUGGCCUCUGCACAGAAUCCGGUCCCUGAGUGGGGCCCUCCCACUCCAGCGUUGAUCUCAUUCUUCUUCCUGAAACCUGCCGGGCCAGCACGGCUCACAAAUGCUAUCAGCAUUCUGCUUCUUCCCUUGCAGAUAUGCAUGGGAACAACUUCUGAAUAUAAAGACAUUAAACAAUGAACAUUGUUGGCGAUAGAAUUAGGGCUAAAGCCUGAGCAAAUAGCUGGAUGAAAUACAUCUUUAUCUGCCACUGUCUCUGAUUUAAACAAGGCAUAAGAUGUUUGUUCAAAACGCUGGCCAUAUCUGGCUGUGCCUGCUUUUGUGAGUCCCUCCCCCGCCCCUCCCAUCGGCAGCUGGGAGAAAAUGACGUCUUCUCCUGAAAGCAGAUGACUUUCCUGCUCUUCUCAGACACUCUCCCACCAGCAGCAGUGCCGGGGGGUUUCUGAGGGUGGUUACUGUGUCCUGCUCAAGCUGCCCUGGCUGCUGUCACCAGGCCAGCCACCGUUUCUGGGUGGCACAGAUAAAAGGAGAAGGCAACCUGCGUUUGUGUGCAAGCCCGUGUUUGCCUGCGACCCUUAUGCCCUCUGUCCCCACAUCUAGAUGGAUGCUUCCUGAAAAGGUGUUCUCAGCAGCCACUGUGCUCCUCCAGUGGAGCCCAUACCCCACACUGCCUGCAAAAUCCACCUAAGAGACCACACAACACCUGUGUGUAGAGUCCUGCCCAGCACAGCACAGCGGCUCCUGCACGCUGGAAUGGGAGACGGUGAAGGCUUUCCUGGGAGUUGCUUUCCAGGUAGGUCAAAGAACCCAGCUGUGCUCUAACUUUUUGUUUUUCAUUGAUUCAGAAAUAUUUCAGGGAAAUGGGGUCCAAGCAGUGGCGCAGAGUAAAUAUUAAUAACAAGGGACCUGAGAUGGGAGUGCUGUAAAUACACCCAGGCCCUUCAUGCCUUGGACUAAGGGCUUUUCUGCCUGCCUGUUAUGGUAACUCCACUGAACCUGAUGGGCAUGACUUAAAUAGGACACCUAUGGAGCUUUCCUCAUAGGAGUGGGUGCUUGGCUCCUACACACAUCUGUAAUAAUCAGGCGCCCUGGUUGCAAUACAGUGGUGCAGCAGGAAUAUGCACGCUCCGUUCAGCGAGUGCCCUGAAACCAUUACACUGCUAAUUAUAAACACAGGCCGCCAAAACCCAGCUUCCUUCUAUUCUUCUUACAUCCUGCAGAUGGCCAAACUUAGGAACUCGUCAUCUGACUCCCCUGGAAUGGCAGCUGGUGGCUUGAUCAGUCAGUGUUUGGGGUUGGGGCUGGACAGAAUCUGUGAGAGACCAGGUCUCUAAUCACAGUGUGGUUUCCAUCUCUAAAUGGUCAAGGUAACAUGGCACGUCCCUCUGGUCUUGGCAAGAACAAGAGCAGGCCUCUUGGAGCCCACCAUGGAGCACGGCAGGCAGAUAAAUAUGUAACCCUUUUUGUUCCUUGGGUGUCCCUGGCUUUACGAUAGUUUUGUCCCAAAGGACCUUCCUGCCUUUGAAUGUGACUCCCCAGAGUGGGGAGGGUUGCUUAGGAAUUGUAUGGGCUGAUCAUUUCAUCAAGCCAGAGGCAUGAGCAUGUGAACUUGAUCUAAAUAGUCUUUCUAAAAACCAGAGCUUGGGAUCAACUUUCAAGAACUGUGGUGAUUGGCUCCCUCCAGUCACUAUAGUUCUUGAAAGUUGCACGGUGACAGCUCAGCCUCCUCCCUCCUGACUGGGUGCAGAGCAUUGAAAUUGUGUCCUUCCAAGCCCUGGGGAACAGAGCUGAUUAAUGGGUCUGGAUUUUUUUUUAUUAUUGUUUUUAAUAUGGCUGGAAAUCUGGCAGACUGCAGGUAUCCAGCAGAGAAUCAAAAUGAGAACAUGUUUAAUACUAUUGGUUCAGGUUGGUUUCUGAGAGCGGAGGAAGGAUUAAGGACUUGGGGGCCAAAGAAGUACUUUAGAUGCUGCAUUGCCCUUCCUAGCUGUGUGACCUCAGGCAGGUUCCUUAAUCCCUCUGGGCUCCAAUAUUUUCUUCCUGUAGAAUGAAGCUUUCUUCCUGUAGAAGUUUCUUGUAGAAUGGGGACUUUUCCAUUAUUAUUAC